GUGACAAAGAGGAUGAACAAGAAGAUGAACAAGAAGAUGAGGUUUGUUUGAAAGCCUCCAAGAAAAAUAAGUGGUACUUGGAUAGUGGUUGCUCAAGACACAUGACGGGUAAUCCAUCCAAGUUUGUCAAUCUUUCCAAGAAGGAUGGUGGCUUAGUAACCUUUGGUGAUAACAAGAAGGGUAAAAUAAUUGGUAAGGGUACUAUAGGUAAUGACUCUUGUACUCUCAUUGAAAAUGUAUUGUUAGUUGAUGGUUUAAAGCAUGACUUACUUAGCAUUAGUCAAUUAUGUGAUAAAGGUUUUAGAGUUGUAUUUGAUAAGAAUAAUUGCAUAAUUGAAAAUGCUAGUGAUAGAAAAGUUUUGUUUGUAGGAAA